GCCGUUAGACGAAAACGGAGGAAGGUGGGAUGACGUCAAAUCAUCAUGCCCCUUAUGUUCUGGGCUACACACGUGCUACAAUGGCCGGUACAGACGGACGCAAAGCCGCGAGGUGGAGCAAAUCCUAAAAAGCCGGUCUCAGUUCGGAUUGCAGGCUGCAAUUCGCCUGCAUGAAGUCGGAAUCGCUAGUAAUCGCAGGUCAGCAUACUGCGGUGAAUACGUUCCCGGGCCUU
rnacentral:rRNA from 1 species